rnacentral:misc_RNA from 1 species
AAAAGAAGUUGCAGCAAAAGUCAAUGUGGACUCUUCACAAGGUCAUGGAAUUCAGAGGGUCUUGCAAGGUCAAGAGCUCCCGACCUUGAGAAGCAGUCUUAUGGAGAGCAAUGAGUCUGAUACUGCUCACAAGCCAAUCAGGUGGUCUUCGUCACGUGAUCAGGAGAAAAAUGAUGGUUCUCAGCGAAGAGUUGGAGCCGAGAAUUGGAUACGUGUGCCGAGGCAUGAACAUUCCUACAUGGAAAUGUUAUCUGGAUCUCAGGCUCCAAGUAGUACACCUGGUUUCCGGGACACUAUCGUGAAAGCUCAUUUCCAAGACCAGGAAGGCAAGCUAAAUUUACUGCCCGGCUCGUGGUCUUUGAUGCCUGCUGUCCCGCCCUUCCACAUGGAAUCGAACCUGAAAAUUCGUACACAUGCUAGCGAGAUAACAUAUCAGAACAUUGAUAAUGUUCGACGCCAUGGUUUGGGAGAUUAUUCUUUGACACAAGGUAUUGGGAUCGAGCAGCAUCGGCCGAGCUGGCUAUCACACUUGCUGCCAACUUCUUCACAAACUGCAAUGGCAAAACCUAAGGGAAACAGUAACUGCAAGCUCUUUGGAAUUCAGCUUGAUGUCAACCCGGCAACUGCUGAGCCAGCACAGGCAAAUAUAGCAUGUGAGUCCGGGUCACACAGUCAGCCAGCAGUAGCAUCAUACCAAUCACAUGCCCUAGAGGCCGAUCCACAGCCUGAACCUCACAAAUGCAUGCUAUCGGUUGAUA